AGAAGAUGGAGAAGAAGGAUAUCCCACGCCAUAUUAUAUGCUACUGCAACAUGUAGGCCGAAAAGAUGGCCCUGAAACCGGCAGCAGUAUUUCGACCAGACACGGGUGUCGUGCAGCGUGGGGCCUGUGGCGGAGGGGGCUACUGACUGUGAGCGGUGCAGUGGUUUGUUUACAAACAAGAGGGGUCAAUGUGAUCAAGUACUGACAAAACCUACCGAGGUACAGCUCAACAUGCGCCUACUAGCAGCCUUACCUUUGGUUCACAUUCAGGAACUCUACGCCUAUUCAGGCAUUUAUUUUAUGAGAAUUGAAUAAAUAUAUUUGUCUGGGAUUUUUUUAUUUUGAUAUGAAAAAUCAU